rnacentral:rRNA from 1 species
UACGGGGGGGGGCAAGCGUUGUUCGGAAUUACUGGGCGUAAAGGGCUCGUAGGCGGCCAACUAAGUCGGAUGUGAAAUCCCCGGGCUUAACCUGGGACUGCGCUUGUUACUGAUAGGCUUGAGUGUGGCAGAGGGGGGUGGAAUUCCACGUGUAGCAGUGAAAUGCGUAGAGAUGUGGAGGAACACCGAUGGCGAACGGCAGCCCCCUGGGCUAACACUGACGCUCAUGCACGAAAGCGUGGGAGCAAACAGG